GGGUUGUGAGGUUAAGCGACUAAGCGUACACGGUGGAUGCCCUGGCAGUCAGAGGCGAUGAAGGACGUGCUAAUCUGCGAUAAGCGCCGGUAAGGUGAUAUGAACCGUUAUAACCGGCGAUUUCCGAAUGGGGAAACCCAGUGUGACUCGUCACACUAUCAUUAACUGAAUCCAUAGGUUAAUGAGGCGAACCGGGGGAACUGAAACAUCUAAGUACCCCGAGGAAAAGAAAUCAACCGAGAUUCCCCCAGUAGCGGCGAGCGAACGGGGAGGAGCCCAGAGCCUGAAUCAGCAUGUGUGUUAGUGGAAGCGUCUGGAAAGGCGCGCGAUACAGGGUGACAGCCCCGUACACAAAAGCGCAUGUGCUGUGAGCUCGAUGAGUAGGGCGGGACACGUGGUAUCCUGUCUGAAUAUGGGGGGACCAUCCUCCAAGGCUAAAUACUCCUGACUGACCGAUAGUGAACCAGUACCGUGAGGGAAAGGCGAAAAGAACCCCGGCGAGGGGAGUGAAAAAGAACCUGAAACCGUGUACGUACAAGCAGUGGGAGCACCCUUUGGGGUGUGACUGCGUACCUUUUGUAUAAUGGGUCAGCGACUUAUAUUCUGUAGCAAGGUUAACCGAAUAGGGGAGCCGGAGGGAAACCGAGUCUUAAUUGGGCGUUAAGUUGCAGGGUAUAGACCCGAAACCCGGUGAUCUAGCCAUGGGCAGGUUGAAGGUUGGGUAACACUAACUGGAGGACCGAACCGACUAAUGUUGAAAAAUUAGCGGAUGACCUGUGGCUGGGGGUGAAAGGCCAAUCAAACCGGGAGAUAGCUGGUUCUCCCCGAAAGCUAUUUAGGUAGCGCCUCGUGAACUCAUCUCCGGGGGUAGAGCACUGUUUCGGCUAGGGGGCCAUCCCGGCUUACCAACCCGAUGCAAACUGCGAAUACCGGAGAAUGUUAUCACGGGAGACACACGGCGGGUGCUAACGUCCGUCGUGAAGAGGGAAACAACCCAGACCGCCAGCUAAGGUCCCAAAGUCAUGGUUAAGUGGGAAACGAUGUGGGAAGGCCCAGACAGCCAGGAUGUUGGCUUAGAAGCAGCCAUCAUUUAAAGAAAGCGUAAUAGCUCACUGGUCGAGUCGGCCUGCGCGGAAGAUGUAACGGGGCUAAACCAUGCACCGAAGCUGCGGCAGCGACACUCAGGUGUUGUUGGGUAGGGGAGCGUUCUGUAAGCCUGCGAAGGUGGCCUGUGAGGGUUGCUGGAGGUAUCAGAAGUGCGAAUGCUGACAUAAGUAACGAUAAAGCGGGUGAAAAGCCCGCUCGCCGGAAGACCAAGGGUUCCUGUCCAACGUUAAUCGGGGCAGGGUGAGUCGACCCCUAAGGCGAGGCCGAAAGGCGUAGUCGAUGGGAAACGGGUUAAUAUUCCCGUACUUGGUGUUACUGCGAAGGGGGGACGGAGAAGGCUAUGUUGGCCGGGCGACGGUU
rnacentral:rRNA from 1 species